rnacentral:lncRNA from 7 species
AGCCCUCUGCCAUGCCCGUUUCCCCAUAGCAAUGCUUGUUCACCUGGAGAGCUUGCACAGAGCAGUGGACUGGGAAGGCUCUGGCUUUCCAGCGGUCAAGCGGUUUAAGAAUCUUGGCAGGAUGAAAAAAAAAGCAGGAUUCAUCCCCCUAAUUGCUCUGUCUCUCUGGCCACCACGUCAUCCUGCUUCGGCCCAAGGUGGGAACACAUCCUCCCCUGCACGCUGGGAGCAGCACAACCAACCUGCAGUUAAACAUUGACGAGUUGCCUCCGCAGUGGAUUUCCAGGAAUCUAUUGAGAUAAGUGCAAGCCAUGGAAACAGCUCUUAAUCCACCUCCUGCCAAUUCCUUAAUACCUGUGCUUUAUUCCUUCCCAUCGGUGAUUGGAUCAGCAGCUCUUUGGAAGUCGAAGUGGCACAAGUGCUUUGCUUUGGUCUCUCUCACAGUAAUUCGUUCCACGUUCUGUCCAAGACUGGAGUUCAAAAUACAAUGAGAGAACACAUCUGUGAAUUUUUCUGCUAUUCACGAAGGUACUCAACUUGCCCAACAGCCCCUCCGCCGUCACACGCUGUAUCUCAAGGCCUUCUGGGACUCCAUUUUUGAGCCAAAACUGUGCCCACAAGAGACGUCACCUCCUGCCUGAUGAGCCUUUUCCCCUUUCCUGGCCCUGCGGUGUGCCAGCGGAGCAGGUCAUGGGACAGCCUGCCCCAGACUGCACCCACCGCAUCUCCGUGCGGUCCUUUCUCGCCUCUGAUUCUUUUUUGGAGAGGCCAGAUUUUGACCAUAAAAGGGAAGAAUGGAAUGUUGGGCGACACGCCAUGCCCCGAUUGGCUGAGCACCUACCCGUGAUGGUUUCGGGGGAAAUAACCAGGUCGGAGUCAUUUUCCUCUCCCCCCACCCCGAGCCGAGAACGAAAACAAUGCGACCAAACCGUGUGGUUCACCAUUGAAACCAAGGCAGGACUUUUUGUGUCUGUGCCUCCUAUUGCUCUUGGUUCCACCUGCAUGAAACCGAGCCCUCGCUUCUGGGUGUGCACGGCAGCUCUGUUUCCCAUCCAACAUCUCUGUGGCCGCCACCGGUUGAUGCUAUCUUGGAGAUGAAUGGGAGCGACCUGGUGGCCAUGUUGGCCAGAAACCACAACUGCCUCCAGCCAACCUGGCAGCCCUUCUGUUGGGAGAACCUGAGAUCCUCCUUCUUGUGGUUGUCCAUCCCAUUUCCACAACCAAAACCCGUCAGAACAAAGCGCCUUUGUGCUUGGACAUCCCUCCCACCCAGCUGCCUUGUGACUGCCCUCGUUAGAUCACUUCUGUGGCUAAAAUAGGACUUUACUCUUGUGAGUCAUUUGCCUGAACCUGCCACCAGCACUGACUUACAACCUUUAAUAAAAAAUGAUAAAGAAGC